CUCACCCACCGAUCACCUUCCCCAGCCCGAUCCCCUCCCCUUUCCCUGCCUGGCGACGCCUCUGCUCCACCCCGCCGCCUCCUCCAUCAGCUAGCGCCGCUGCCUACUCCGUCCCUAGCGCCACCAUCCAGAUCCAUGCCGCCUGGUCUCCAUCUUCAACGCCCCGAACUGUCCCCGGUACUCCACCUACGAGCAAUGGCGGCCUCCAAGCGACGCAAUGGCCUCCCCAGCGGAGGCGCUGUGGCCUCCAAGUGGUGUGGCGGCCUGUCAUCGCAACUGAAGGAGUGCCUGCCAUCGUUGCUGGGGCUGAAUCCGUGCAUGGGCUACCUCACCAACACCAGCGUGUCGUCGCCCCCGGCGGCGUGCCGCGCCGGCUUCAAGUCCCUCGUCCACACCGCGCCCAUCUGCCUCUGCCACUGCCUCAACGGCGACAUCAACACGCUCAUGCCCGCCACCCGCGCCCAUGGAUUCCAUGCACAUGAUGUCCCUUAUGGGCUCCUUCUCUGUCCCGCUCCCGCUGCAGGCGCUUGCCCAGUGCUCAUACACAUGCACUGGAAGACAAUGCUGGGUGCAGUAAAAGAGUUGCUGGAGGCGUAUAAGACGGUUGCCACAACUAUGCAUCGUUGCUAAGCAUAGAAGAAUAAAUGUUGCAUUUUUUCACAUCCUUUUAUUAUUCCUGUUAAGGUAAGGUGCUUAAAGUGUAAAUAAGGUUAGGCUCUUUCCUGUCUCGGUGUAAAUCGGUGCUAGAGCAUUGUGCCCGCAUACGAGUAUCUUCAUAUAGUCUUCAAGUGAUAGUGUGUUCGGAUCUUUCCUGAUAUUUGUGUGAUAUUGGUAUCUAAUGUGUGUAAGUUGUUUUCAUGAUUUAUUAUAUCUUUUCUGCUUAUUAUUAUGUUUGCCCGAGGUAAGUUGUACGGAGUAAAGAAACGCAAGUGUUCCAUAUGUUCAGGAAAAUUAAUGAUUUUUUUUAUGAAUGAGUUCGUCGAUCUGUAACAAAACAGGGUACAUAUGAAAGUGAAAAGAAUUAAAUGCCGUGGCAACGCACGGGUAUUGUGCUAGUAACUAUCGAAUAUCUAAAACGACACAUAACAUGGAGUUGAAACGUCCAGAAGAAGCUUGAGUAGGAGUUGCCUGAGGAAAGCAAUGUGCACCUGGAGGCAGGGGCAGCAGGGGCUAGAAGUUCCUCCUAACGUCCCCCUGGACCUGGAGACACAUCUUAUUGGCUAUCCUGCAAAGAAGGCCUGGUUCUAUCACAAGGAGGCAACAAAUCAUGCUUAUGUUCUGUUCCUCUUAAAAUGUGAAAUGAAUUGUUCCAUCCAAAACAUUGUUAAAUUUUGCAGUCAUGCUGGCUCUUGGAACACCUGUUCAAGGCACAACUUCAACGGCUAUUCUACAAAUCAGCCCUGGUCCUGUCACAAGGAGUCAAGUUUCUUUGCCGUCCUACAAAACAGCCCUGGUCCUAUCGUAGGGAGAAGGAACACCGGGAAACCCUAUUUCUCCAGCAAGACCUAUUGUGAAGGCUGCAAAGAAGAUUACACCGAAGAAAAGAGCAUGAUGCACUGCACACUGGAGAAUGAUGCUUUUGCAUGGCCUCAAUUUGUGCCAUGGCAUUCCACUGUCUCUCGAGAUUUCCUUUUUGUCUGAUGUAAUCUAUCCGAGAACCUAUGAGUAUUAUGCUUGCUGUGUUUGUAGUGAGAUAUGGACUCGAUUUCAAUUAAGGACGCAUUGAGCUCUUUUAUUUAGGAUAUUGAACUCUAUGGAAGCUAUGAAAUGAAGAUGUCUCUUCUCUUGUA